rnacentral:tRNA from 2 species
GGAGAGAUGCCCGAGUGGUUAAAGGGGGCGGUCUGUAAAAUCGCUGGCUUAUGCCUACGUAGGUUCGAAUCCUACUCUCUCCACCA